AUGGGAGUGAUUUGUAACCGGUCUGUGUUCCCAGGGGCCCAGUCCCAGGUGCAGCUGGUGGAGUCCGGAGGGGAUGUGAAGAAGCCCGAAGACUCUCUGCGCGUCUCCUGCAAAGCCUCCGGCUUCACCAUCAGCAGCCCCUGUAUGGAUUGGGUCCGGCAGGCUCCCGGGAAGAGGCUGGAGUGGGUGGCUGCGACUAACGAAGCUGGAUCGAGCCAGAGGUAUUCCCCGGCUGUUCAAGGCCGAUUCACCGUCUCCAGAGACAAUGCUAACAAACUGCUGCACCCGCAAAUGACCGGCCUGAAUCCCGAAGACACCGCCCGCUAA